UACGAAGGGGGCUAGCGUUGCUCGGAAUUACUGGGCGUAAAGCGCACGUAGGCGGAUCUUUAAGUCAGGGGUGAAAUCCUGGAGCUCAACUCCAGAACUGCCUUUGAUACUGAGGACCUUGAGUUCGGGAGAGGUGAGUGGAACUGCGAGUGAGAGGUGAAAUUCGUAGAUAUUCGCAAGAACACCAGUGGCGAAGGCGGCUCACUGGCCCGAUACUGACGCUGAGGUGCGAAAGCGUGGGGAGCAAACAGG
rnacentral:rRNA from 1 species